UUAAGUUAAGUAAUUGGUGGCCAUUGGUUUGUACAGCACUUCCUGUCUUAACUUAUGGCCUCACUUUAUGUUAACUGUCCAGUGUGAAUCAGCCUUAACACAACAAGCAAAACAACUGUAUAACAACAGUAAAGACACUAUGCUACACUAUUAAGAUACUCCUAACACAAGAAGCAAAGCAACUAUAUAACCGUAAAGGACACUACGCUACACUAUUAAGAUACUCCUAACUCAGCAAGCAAAACAACUGUAUAACAGUAAACUACUAUGCUACACUUUUAACUUUAUUUUAUUCUAUUUUCACAACUUAAGAUUAUUCUGCUCUUAAUAUUA